rnacentral:rRNA from 1 species
CCUACGGGCGGCAGCAGUGGGGAAUAUUGGACAAUGGGCGAAAGCCUGAUCCAGCCAUGCCGCGUGUGUGAAGAAGGCCUUCGGGUUGUAAAGCACUUUCAGUGGGGAAGAAAGCCUUGGGGCUAAUACCCUCGAGGAAGGACAUCACCCACAGAAGAAGCACCGGCUAACUCCGUGCCAGCAGCCGCGGUAAUACGGAGGGUGCGAGCGUUAAUCGGAAUUACUGGGCGUAAAGCGCGCGUAGGCGGUCUGAUAAGCCGGUUGUGAAAGCCCCGGGCUCAACCUGGGAACGGCAUCCGGAACUGUCAGGCUAGAGUGCAGGAGAGGAAGGUAGAAUUCCCGGUGUAGCGGUGAAAUGCGUAGAGAUCGGGAGGAAUACCAGUGGCGAAGGCGGCCUUCUGGACUGACACUGACGCUGAGGUGCGAAAGCGUGGGUAGCAAACAGGAUUAGAUACCCGUGCAGUC